rnacentral:tRNA from 1 species
GGGGGUGUAGCUCAAUGAUAGAGCACUUGGCUAGCAUGCAUGAAGCCCUGGAUUCAAUCCCCAUUACUGCCA